GCCUUCUUCUCCAGCAGGCUUCUGUUGUAUAAUGGGGAAGCAAUCAAUAUCUCAAAAAGGUGGGCUUGAAGAUGGGCAUGGUGGCCCAUGCCUGUAACCUCAGCACUCUGAAAGGCCGAGCCCUAACAGUGCCCUGAAUGCUGUUCCAAUGGAUCCUCUGUGCGGAAGCCAUGAUGACCUUCCUACACCAAGCCUAAUACUCCUUUACUCUGUACUCUCCCCUCUCUGCUUACUCUGGAUUAUAAAUCAAAAAGGGGGAAAAUGUGGGGGAACUCUGGCUGGAUGAGUGACUAAAAUGAAUAUAAAGAUGAAGAGGUCCCUGGGCAACAGUUCAGGACUCCUAGUUAAAAUUAGAGCAGAUCUGCAAAGGCAACAGCCAAGCAGAAUCAGCAAUAAGUUAUUCUCAGAGAUGUUUGCUCUGGCCAUUGUGUACCUCCUGCUUGAUAAGCUUGCUUAAACUAGAUCAACAUCUGUCACAUAACAAACUAUCCUACUCCUUCCCUGUCCCUUGAGUAAAACUCCUAAACAAAUGUUGCAAAUAUUUUUCUUCUGUGUCUUUCUUCCCAAGUCCUUGAGUUACAAAUAAAUAGCCAUAGAGGUUUUAGUUCAGGACUGCUUUCCUGAGACUUUCUCAUGCUGAAUACUCUCUGUGAUCAGCCUCUCUGGGCCUCUUGGGGAUCACACUGAAUCUUGACUCUGAAUAAUCUUUUCAUCCUCUGUGCCACUUUGGUUGCACACUGCAACACAUUAUCUCAACCACUUUCCCAAUAUACAUUAAUACCCCAUCCCAUAGACAGCCAAUACCAUAGACAAAAGUUCUUUCAAACCACUGGUGGGUUCUUGGUACCCUGACUCCAGACCUGUAAUCAAGACCCAAUCUCUCCCUAGCCACAGACAAAACUUAUAGCCCUAACCCAAAUACUUAUUCUGGCUUCCUUUGGCUUUCUCACUCUCACCAAACUAUGAAAUAUCCUAAUCACCUUUCUCCACUUUUUUCCUUAUUCCUAGACCUCAUAGCUGGCCAGAUUCCUUACUCUUGGCCUCCCUCCAUAUAUAAGCUAAUAUAUGGUUACUUCUUUCUUCUGGGCUCUAUUCUAUCCACUAAUUCCCUAUAAAGUAUUUUCAGGCACUUCAGGUCAUUCAAGCCUGUCUAUAAGGACCCACUAAUUCUUUCCUUUCCUGGCCUUCACACUCACUAUUCCUCUCCCCCUUCACCCCUG
ensembl:lncRNA